CUUCUUUUAUAAUACCUAGCAUGUAAAUGAAUAGUUGUACUUACAGAAGAGACACCAAUGACACUUAACUUCACGGAAGGCAAUUUUAUGAUAUAAGGUUUAACUGCAAUAUAUUAUCAACGCUCAGUUUUCAAUCCCUUCCGCUCACUUGAACAACUAAAAUGAGGUUUAUAGGUAUUGCACGAGUUUUAGUUGUUGUAUUCACACUGCUGGCAACGUGGUAUAUUGCAGAGACUUUUUUCUCCUCAACGAUGGAGAUGAAGAACAUUAAACGCUUUUUAGG